rnacentral:rRNA from 1 species
AGCGAACGCUAGCGGCGGGCCUAACACAUGCAAGUCGAGCGGAGGGGCAACCCUCAGCGGCGAACGGGUGAGUAACACGUAGGUAAUGUACCCUCUGGUGGGGAAUAACCGUGGGAAACCAUGGCUAAUACCGCAUAUGUCUUUCGAGAUGAAAGCAGCAAUGCGCCAGAGGAGCAGCCUGCGGCCGAUUAUUUAGUCCUAGUUGGUGAGGUAAUGGCUCACCAAGGGUACGGAUCGGUAGCUGGUCUGAGAGGAUGAUCAGCCACACUGGAACUGAGAAACGGUCCAGACUCCUACGGGAGGCAGCAGUGGGGAAUAUUGCUCAAUGGGCGAAAGCCUGAAGCAGCAACGCCGCGUGUGCGAUG